UACAGAGGGUGCAAGCGUUAAUCGGAAUUACUGGGCGUAAAGCGUGCGUAGACGGUUAUGUAAGUCGGAUGUGAAAUCCCCGGGCUUAACCUGGGAAUGGCAUUUGGGACUGCAAGGCUGGAGUGUGGCAGAGGAGACUGGAAUUCCUGGUGUAGCAGUGAAAUGCGUAGAUAUCAAGAGGAACACCUGCGGCGAAGGCGGGUUGCUGGGCCGACACUGACGCUGAAGUGCGAAAGCCAGGGGAGCGAACGGG
rnacentral:rRNA from 1 species